UUAAGCCAUGCGAGUCGAACGAGUUUAGGCUCGUGGCGUACGGCUCAGUAACACGUGGAUAACCUACCCUUAGGACUGGGAUAACCCUGGGAAACUGGGGAUAAUACUAGAUAGGCAAUUUUUCCUGGAAUGGUUUUUUGUUUAAAUGUUUUUUCGCCUAAGGAUGGGUCUGCGGCCGAUUAGGUAGUUGGUUAGGUAACGGCUUACCAAGCCAUUGAUCGGUACGGGUUGUGAGAGCAAGAGCCCGGAGAUGGAACCUGAGACAAGGUUCCAGGCCCUACGGGGUGCAGCAGGCGCGAAACCUCCGCAAUGUGAGAAAUCGCGACGGGGGGAUCCCAAGUGCCAUGCUUAACGGGAUGGCUUUUCAUUAGUGUAAAGAGCUUUUGGAAUAAGGGCUGGGCAAGACCGGUGCCAGCCGCCGCGGUAA
rnacentral:rRNA from 1 species